AAUACCCAGACAGGAGCUGGUGAUAAGGAAUGUACACACUCUCCUCAGUACACAACAUCUCAUUUGAGCAGAGGAAAUUGGAACGAAGAGGAGAAAGGAGAAGUGCGCAGAGAGGUGAGGAGGACAGCAGAUGAGGAGUAAAAAGAGUGGACGGAAGAGUGGAGGACAGCAACGGUGAAUGAAUGUUUGCAGGAGCAGAGAUAAGCCUGGUCCACCUCGCGCAAAGGCAAAGCUGUCAUGGAAUGGGCUAGAAAACUGAGCAGUGAUGACAGACGAUUUCUUGUCACCCCUCGUCAUCAAUCAUCAAUCCAUCUGUGCUUCACCUAUCCCAGCUGUGAUAGGGAAAAGGUUAACCUGUCCAGGUGUCCACUUGCUUAAUGAGAGCUGGGAAAAGCUCCAACCACAC